AACAUACAGUUUUGGUCCUAGACUUGCUGCUAUUUAUAAUCAAAAUUACACAUGCAAGUAUCCGCAUGCCAGUGAGAAUGCCCACCUAUUGANGGAGCAGGUAUCAGGCACGACCUAUCAGCCCAAGACACCUUGCUACGCCACACCCCCACGGGGAAACAGCAGUGAUAGAUAUUAGGCAAUGAGCAACAAACUAAAGCUCGACUUAGUUAUGAUUUAUAGGGCCGGUAAACCUCGUGCCAGCCACCGCGGUUAUACAAGGGGCCCAAAAUAGACAAACAACGGCGUAAAUCGUGGCUAGAACACAUUGAUUACCAAAAUAACGAACCAUGUCCUAACCGWUAAAACACAGGACAAAUGAACACCACCAUUUUGUUAAACCAACUUUUGACCCCACGAAAACUAAGACACAAACUAGGAUUAGAUACCCUACUAUGCUUAGUCGUAAAUAAGACAUAAAAUCACACCUAUGUCCGCCAGAAGAUUACAAGCGAAAAGCUUAAAACCCAAAGGACUUGGCGGUGCUCCACACCAACUUAGAGGAGCCUGUCCUAUAACUGAUACUCCACAAUAGACCUCCCCCUCUAUUGCCAACCCCAGCCUAUAUACCGCCGUCGCAAAUCUACCCUGUGAAGGGAAAAAAGUAGGUUCAACAGCUACUAGCUAAAACGUCAGGUCAAGGUGUAGCUUAUUGGAGGGAAGAGAUGGGCUACAUUUUUUAAUAUAAACUAAACGGCAAAGCACUAUGAAACUAGCACUAUAAGGUGGAUUUAACAGUAAGAUUAACAAGAAAAUUAACCUUAAACCAGCCCUGGAGCGCGCACACACCGCCCGUCACCCUCCUCAACACAAACAUAAACAAUCUAUAAUUAAAGUCCCUAAAAAGAGGGGGUAAGUCGUAACAUGGUAAGCGCACCGGAAGGUGUGCUUGGAUAACCAAAAAGUAGCUUAAACAAAGCUUUCAGCUUACAACUGAAACAUGUUAGAACCUUUUUGCGCGAUACAUCAGCCCAAACACCUGUUCAAACUAACACCCAUAAACCAAAACAUUUGACAAAACUAGUAGAGGUGAUCAAAC
rnacentral:ncRNA from 1 species